GAUGAAGAACGUAGCGAAAUGCGAUAAGUAAUGUGAAUUGCAGAAUCCAGUGAAUCAUCGAAUCUUUGAACGCACAUUGCGCCCGCCAGCAUUCUGGCGGGCAUGCCUGUUCGAGCGUCAUUUCAACCCUCGACCUCCCUUUGGGGAAGUCGGCGUUGGGGACCGGCAGCACACCGCCGGCCCUGAAAUGGAGUGGCGGCCCGUCCGCGGCGACCUCUGCGUAGUAAUCCAACUCGCACCGGAACCCCGACGCGGCCACGCCGUAAAACACCCAACUUCUGAACGUUGACCUCGAAUCAGGUAGGACUACCCGCUGAACUUAAGCAUAUCAAUAACGGAGGA
rnacentral:misc_RNA from 1 species